GACGAACGCUGGCGGCGUGCCUAAUACAUGCAAGUAGAACGCUGAAGAGAGGAGCUUGCUCUUCUUGGGUGAGUUGCGGACGGGUGAGUAACGCGUAGGUAACCUGCCUGGUAGCGGGGGAUAACUAUUGGAAACGAUAGCUAAUACCGCAUAAAAUUUAUUAUUGCAUGAUUAUUUAUUGAAAGAUGCAACUGCAUUACUACCAGAUGGACCUGCGUUGUAUUAGCUAGUUUGGUAAGUAACGGCUUAACAAGGCGAACAUACAUAACCCACCUGAGAGGGGUGUCGGCCACGCUUGGAAUGAAGCACGGCCCCGACUUCUUCGGGGGGCAGCAGGAGGGGAUCCUUGGGAAAGGGGGGAAACCUGACCGGGGCACGCCGGGUGAGGGGAGAAGGUUGUCGGAUCGUAAAGAUCCGUUGUAAGAGAAGAACGGGUGGGAGAAUGGAAAGUGCACACUGUGACGGUAUCUUAUCAGAAAGGGACGGCUAACUACGUG
rnacentral:rRNA from 1 species